GCCUACGGGAGGCAGCAGUGAGGAAUAUUGGUCAAUGGCCGAGAGGCUGAACCAGCCAAGUCGCGUGAGGGAUGACGGCCCUACGGGUUGUAAACCUCUUUUGUCGGGGAGCAAGACCCGCCACGAGUGGCGGAGCGAGAGUACCCGAAGAAAAAGCAUCGGCUAACUCCGUGCCAGCAGCCGCGGUAAUACGUAGGUGGCAAGCGUUGUCCGGAUUUAUUGGGCGUAAAGCGAGUGCAGGCGGUUCAAUAA
rnacentral:rRNA from 1 species